rnacentral:rRNA from 1 species
GGUACUUGGUCUUAUAUCCUCGUAUUCCUUGGCCAAGAAAAGGCAGAUACAGAUGGCUCUCGCUAUUCUCGAUAUAAAGAUCGAGAGCAGAGCACAAAUGGUCUCUGUCGCGCAGUUGGCGGAUUCAUUGUCGGCAUAUAACGUCAGGUCGAAAGGCCGGCGUAAAAAUCAUGCGGCAAUGGUCAAAGCGAGUAUUUCCCCUAACGACUGAUUCUGCUGCAACCAAUAGGGUUGGCAGAUGAGAUAUGCGCGCCUCGGCGCGGUAUCACACGGCUUGCACCUACUUCCUUCUCGGUGACGAGAAACGAAACGGUGAUGGAAUAGUCUGAUACUUGCGGUAACGCAAGAUAACAAACAACAGAGGUCCCAAGGGUUUGGCUGUUCGCCAAUUAAAAAGGCACGUGAGCUGGGUUCAGACCGUUCAGAGCAUGAGCGACGGAUGUCGCAGCUCGUGAAUUGAACGGUCUGAAUCAAUCGAACUGUUAAAAUUUUCAUCUAUUAAAUGAUCUACAGCAUUGCACACAAAAUAUGCUGAGGAUAAACCAAUCACAACAUGGCGGUCACUCAUAGCAAUAUGGGAUGAUUCCGUUGACUUAUUUCGGUGGAACCCUACUUUGCUUAGAGAGGGCAAUACCGAGGGAACUGCGCGUGGUAAAAACAGAGCGCGGGCCCGUAGAGACUAAACGUCAACAUUCCGAGCGAUCGGAAUAAGCUAUAGUCCAAUGCACACAGUAAUGUGUGGGAACAUGCGUGAGACAGGUUGGUCUCCUAUCUACUGCAGGCGUUGAUUCUUGAGGAGGUUUGCUUCUAGUACGAGAGGACCGAAGUGAACGGACCGCUGGUCUAUCUGCUGUCGUGCCAACGGCAACGCAGAGUAGCUAUGUCCGGAACGGAUAACCGCUGAAAGCAUCUAAGCGGGAAGCCGUCUCCAAGAUAAGGAAUCGUUGAGGGCCCUAGUAGACUACUAGGUUGAUAGGCCUUAGGUGUACGCACAGCGAUGUGUUGAGCCGAGAGGUACUAAUUGCCCGAUCCUAUUAGGAAA